rnacentral:rRNA from 1 species
UGGGGGAAUUUUUGGACAAUGGGCGCAAGCCUGAUCCAGCCAUGCCGCGUGCGGGAAGAAGGCCUUCGGGUUGUAAACCGCUUUUGUCAGGGAAGAAAUCUUCUGAGUUAAUACCUCGGGGAGGAUGACGGUACCUGAAGAAUAAGCACCGGCUAACUACGUGCCAGCAGCCGCGGUAAUACGUAGGGUGCAAGCGUUAAUCGGAAUUACUGGGCGUAAAGCGUGCGCAGGCGGUUUUGUAAGACAGAGGUGAAAUCCCCGGGCUCAACCUGGGAACUGCCUUUGUGACUGCAAGGCUUGAGUGCGGCAGAGGGGGGAUGGAAUUCCGCGUGUAGCAGUGAAAAUGCGUAGAUAUGCGGAGGAACACCGAUGGCGAAGGCCAAUCCCCUGGGCCUGCACUGACGCUCAUGCACGAAAGCGU